rnacentral:lncRNA from 1 species
AGGUUGCAGAAGCAUUUCUCACCACUGAUGCUGCUGGGCGAAAGAAAUGAACGUGAUUGAUUAUGACUUUGAUACACCUGAGGAACAGAGAAAAUUCAGUAAACAUCUCUGUGUUUCUGUCUGUCAACAGGAUAGAGGAAUGAAGGGAGUCCAAAUGUCAGUGUGCAUGACUUUUUCUGUUUGGAUGGAUGGGACUUCUGAUCUGACACACCUGUUCCAGUAUCCUGACAUGAUGAGUGCCAGCUCUGAAGUGAAAGGAUACAGGAACAGGCUGUAUCUAACUGUGACUACACAGUGUUGAAAACUGAAUCGUUAAUACAGUAAAGUUGUGAGUGAACUCAUCUCCCCACCACCACUUCUGCAUCUCCCAGACUCAGAGCUCUCUUUUUGCCUUUGCUGAAAGCAAAAACAGGGACUCUCAGAGAGCUCUUCUAGACAGUGAGGGCACUGUAGCACAUGAAGGAGCACACUGAAUGCUGAACUUUGGUGUAACUGAGGCUUGGGAAGUUGCCUGAGGCUAUGCAACAGCAGCAGCAGUGGGCCAGAAAGCUGCAAAUGGGUUGUUACAAGGAUAAGGAGCUAGAGAAAUCUUGUAAGACCUCAAAAAUAGCUGCAAUGGGAGGGAAAGAAAAAUGAUUUGUAAGGUGUUGGCUGCGGACAAUGUUGCUGGUCUGUUUGUUUUUAAUCUAAUUAUAACGUGUAAUUAUGCCCAAGGAACCUUGAAGCUUGCAUUUUUAAAGCUUGAAGUUGUAUAGCCUUACAGGGAGCUUGAGCUUGGUACUUACCAAGCCAGGAGUUUCCUCUUGGGCUUGCAACAGAGACGGUGAGUCUUCAGGAAAGCUUUCUCCGUGUUUUACCCUCUCCAUCUUGUUUUAACUGAAAUAUAUCUUAGUUGUUACUAAGCAUGGCUAUGCUAGCCUUGCUUAGACCAAAUAAGGUUGGAUUAGGCAAUUUUGGCCUAGCUAUAUGCUCAUGCUCCAAUGUUUUCAUGUUAGCUAGUUUUCCCCCUAUUUAUUUAGUUAGUUUCUUAUAGUCGCUCCAUAAGUUCUGAUAAUUAGACAAUCUUAUGGACUUUGAACUUUUGUUGAAAGCAUGCUUCUACUAGCACAGCCUCACUGUUUGCAGGAAGCCAAAUCUGAGGGCAGAAAAUGUGAAUCAAGUUUAUGCACAAAAUCCUUUUAAAAUUACUUACAUUUUAAUGUUUCUCCUCAAAUGCUAUUGUUUUUGUUGUUUUCAACAAACCCGCAUUUGAAAAUAAGAGUAAAAAUAACAGAUGACUUAGGGUACAUUUUUAAGUGAACAAAAAUCCUGCUUUGGAAUUUGUUCACAUGUGCUAUCCUUCCACUCAGCUUUUAUGGGAAUACAGAAUAUAUCUAUACAGGAAAAUCACAGUGCAAAUUUCCAGCUAUUACCUCGCUCACCUGGGAAUGAGAAAUAUCUCAGCUGCACCUAAUGACAUAAAUAGGGUGGAAAUGGGAAUUACUCUACUGCUUUACAGCAGAGUAGAAGAUCUCAAGGAGGUUCUUUACACAGUAGGGCCCAUAAUCAAGUCUUUUUUCUGCGUAAUCAAGAGAGCGGUUAAACAGCUGAGAGUCAUAAAAGAACAGGAAGAAUUUUAAGAUGCAGAGAAAUUAAAUUUGCUCCAGUUUUCAAAGGAUUAAUCCAGCCCUCAUCUCUCCUUUGACAUCUCUUGGCUACAUCCAAAUAGUCGUCUGCCUGUUCUUCCUCCACAAAAUAUGAAGGGAUGUUACUUGGGCUACCUCAUUCCCUGCCGGUUGCUAAUGGAAAAUAGUACUGCUGUGCAGGGAGACUUGUUUUAUAGGUGUUUUUCUUCUAUCUGGUUUUACAGUUCUCUACCGCCACUGUUCAGCAUUCCCUGGAUUGCUCUGCCGUUCUCUGGCCAUCCAUAUAUGUUUUGCAAACUGAGUGACACAAAGGCCUCUAAAAAAGGAAACACCUCUCACGAAACACUUUGCACUGUUCAUUGCUAUUUCUCUUAAGACAGGAGAACGGUUGCCUCCUAUCACCCUUAAGUUCCAUUUAAAAGCUGGUCAAUCCUACUGGAUACACCAGCCUUCCACUGCUCAGUCCUGGUGCCCGCAUAAGGACAGCUUUACAAAAUGAGUACUCCCUUUUCCCCUGCUAGGGCUUGACACACACUUGUAAGAUUAACAGCUAUGGAAUCUAGUGUUGUUUUAUUUUGUCGUCAGUUUUCAGUGAUAUCAUAGUCUUUUCAUUCCAGCACCUUUCACUUCCCAGUCCUUAAACUAAUACACUGAUCCCUAUUACUAAACAAACCAGACUAUAUCACCACCUUUUAAGCUGAGAUGUAGUUUUUCCUCUGUCCUCCUCCUUGUACAUACACUAGGCUGUGCAUAAACAGCAAAGCACAAGAACUUUACAGCAAGCAGUUCCAAGUCUAACUAGGGCCUAGAGUAGUGCCUACCUGAUAGCUGUGUAUAAUUUGAAGAACACUAACUGCAGAAUUUGCAAGUAUUUGAUUUAAAGAAUCUUAUAUUUUUAUUAGUUUUGCAGACUGACCAAAUAUGUUGUACUAUGGUUGAUUUUAUUGUGUAGCUACAUGGCUCUAUGCCCAUUGACUUCAAGCAAUUACAGCACUACUGCUGGAUCACAACAGUGCUAGACUGAAAGAACCACAGUAUGAAAUUUGCAACUACAGUUUAAUCUACUUUAAAAAUAUGAAAUCUAGUAUAGUUAAUAUGCCUAUCUUAAACUAAAAACUUUACCUGGAGAAAAUAAGUAGGUAUUUUUCAGUGCUCUGAUACUGACCUUAUUUUGAAUCAAUAACUCUCUGAUUAUUUUGCACAAAAACAACCAACCAAAAAAAAAAAAAACCAACACAAAACUCCGCUUAACUUAGUAGCAAUGGAGAAACGCAAGUCCAAAGAGAAAAAGCUCUGCCUCAAAUCUGAAGAACAGAAUUGAGAAUCCAUUCUUUUUUCCCCCACCUCUCAACAGAAGUCUGGGCUAGAAUUCUCUCUCUUAUACUUUAUUUAAAGGCCUCUCUGCUCUAUUUGUUUUUCUAGCAUACUGUCCGUAUGGUAAAAACUGUGUGGAAAAAAUAUAGAGAAGAAAGAAUUUGAACAUUACAGGGAAAGGUAUUUGAAAAAAAAAAAAAAUAACAUCUACACAAAACACGAUACAGUUGUGCUGUCUGUUGGGAUUUACCCAUGACUGUCCUUAGAGCCAAGAAAUACCAGAAGAGAGAUACUAUAGCUGGUAUUUGAAAAACUUCACGUACUCUCAGAAAGAUGCAUAUGAAAACAAUGAAAUUGGAAGCUUUUUUUUUUUUUUUUUUUUUAAAUAGGAAGCAGAUUGCCAUUUGGAAAAAUUGCAGUGAGGUUAUUCCAUGUUUCAAUUUCUCUUUGGGUGAUGGGAGGAAAAGUUCACCUUGAAAACCAGAGAGUUUUACAGCAGAAACAGAAGACAGCAGAAAGAACUGAUGUGACAGCUCAGUCUAACAGAAACAAACCCGCCUAUUCCCCUCAGAAACUGCUAGUAAGACAUAAUGCAGUGUCUGCCAGUGAACUGAAUCACUUUAACAUGACUCUCACAUGUCAUUUAUUAAGCUAAAUAGACAUAAAACUGCAAAUAUCAAAUUGCCUCUAUGUGGUAAUACACAAAAAUGAGAAUUAAAUGCAACUUCCCAUCCUGCUCCUGCCUUACAAAUAUUUAUCAGCCAAGAGAAUGAUCUACAAAAGCUUUUUUUUUUUUCAUUCUGCAAAUAUCACAAUAAGACAUUAACCCUUUUAUCACAACAUGCGCAAUAUGCCUUACUAGUACAAUUUCUUCUCUGAAAGAAGAAAGGGCCACAUAACUUUCUCUGCCCAGAUACAACACUGUAUGACAAAAGCCUGGAGGGACUGGGGAUACCCCUUAUCAACACCAUUUUUUUGAGGCUUACAAUUUAUAUGGGAUUUUUUGUUUUUAUUUUGUUUGGUUUUUUUGCUGUUCUGUUUGUUUGUUAUUUACUAAGUUUCCUGGACAAGGAAUGCAUCGGUUUUAAUAAUGCACAUACUAUUGCAAUAUAUAAUUAUCACUAUGAAUAUUGAAAUCUUAACAGUAAUCUGCAGUUAGAGCAUUUUCAGAAGAUACAAAAUCAAAUAAAAGUGUAAUUUCUCUCAAUAAAGAGUGAUUUAUUAUUACCCAGAUUGUGCAGUAGUCAAUUUUACUCAGUUUUACCCGCAAAAGAUGCUAGUGUCUACCUGUUCAGAACACACGCUCCUG